rnacentral:tRNA from 1 species
GAGAGAGUGGCUGAGUGGUUAAAAGCGGUAGACUGUAAAUCUAUUGAAGUAAUUCUACAAAGGUUCAAAUCCUUUUUCUCUCA